rfam:Ipomoea nil DNA, scaffold: scaffold1317, cultivar: Tokyo-kokei standard.
GUGACAGAAGAGAGUGAGCACAGAUUGUGUUUUCUUGCAUGAUUUUAUGUUAACAUGCUUGAAGCUAUCUGUGCUCACGCUCUAUCUGUCAU